CAGAAGCGAGGGCAGCCGGAGUGUUAGUUAAGGAGGCCAGUGACGGAGAGCAGGGAGAAGCUGCAUGAAAUCUAAAUUGGUGGUUAUGGGGAAUUUAUUGAUGGAAGUAAAAUCUUAAACUGCAUGCUUAAUGUCAAUCUAGUUUACAGUUUUAGAUAAUGUAAACUAAGGGUGACAAAAUCAGAACAGAUGGCAAGAAGCAAGUUUUACAGAGAGCAAGCCACAAAUGCCUGUGGAAUGGACAUCCUGCUGGGGCAGCACGCAUCUUCACCCCCACGGGACUUCACAACCCUCAUCAGUGAUUCACGUAUGACAGCCGUGGGCAGAAACUACCCGCUAACAAAGUUCCCUCCAGUUUCCAGCAAGGGGAGUCUGAAGGACAUUUAAUAUGCCUGGGGGCAUCAGGGAAGGCCUCACAGUAGAGGCAACAUCUCAGCUGGGUCUUAGAAGAUGCGUAGAACUUUGAACGUAGGAAACAGGCCUUAUUGCCUCCUGGGAAGAGCAAACACCUACUCAAGCAAUGAAAUAUGAUUAUAUUAAGUUGGCCAGGCAGAAGACAGAGACCACUGGAAAGCAGAAAUCAAGAGACAAUUUUUCCAUUAGAGGCGCUCUCCUGGGCUGCACUUGCUUGCAUACGCACAUGCGUGAGAGUGAGCAAGCGGUGCUUGAGACAAACAGAAUCUGUGGGUGCCUGUCAGAGGCAUUUGUUAAUUUAAUUAGUACAGCUUCUGUAAAGUAUCAGGUUAGUAAUUUAAGUACUUCACUCAUUCUUCAUUGCUAUUGUUGUAUUUCAUGGAUUCUAUGAUGAAUGUGUUUUUCUCUCCAACAUUUUAACUUCUCCAAAAUUAAGAGUACAAGGCUACCACAGAAACAUUGUGGGUUCAUUCCAGUCUACCACAGUGAAGCAAAUAUCAUAAUAAAACAAGUUAAAUGAACUUUUUGGUUUCCCAGUGUAUAUAAAAUUUAUAUUUACACUGUACUGUAGUCUAUUAAGUGCAAUAACAUUAUGCCUAAAAAAAUACAUACAUUAAUGAAAAUACACUUUAAUAAUAUGAAAAUACUAAUAAAAAACCCAUUUUAUUAUAUUAUUGCAAAAAUUGCUAACCAUCACCUAAGCUUUAAGUGAGUUGUAAUCACUGAUCACAGAUCACCAUAAAAAACAUAAUAAUAAUAAAAAUGUUUGAAAUAUUGUGACAAUUACCAAACUGUGACACAGAGACACAAAAUGAACAGAUGCUAUUGGAAAAAUGGUGCUGAUAGCCUUGCGCAACGCAAGGGUCUUUAAAACUCCCAAUUUGUAAAAAAUGCAAUCCCUGCUAAACACAGAAAAUAAAGCAAAGCACAGUGAAACGAGGUGUGCCUGGACCCUGCAGCGGAUGGCGGCCAUUUGCCGUGGCUGUCACCGCCUGUGUGUGCCUGGAGUUGGGGGCAUGACUGGAAAAGUGCGAUCCAGUGACAUGUCAGCUGACAUACCGUUUAAGGACUGAUUGAGAAAGGCUUAGGAGAGUGUUAGACUGAAGCCUCUCCAACAGAGCACCAGUAUAAAAUCUUGAAGAUCGAAUACAAGUAGCUUGGAAGAAAAUCCUGACGGCAAGAGCAGGGCCCUCUUUUAGGAAGUGCUGUGUACCAUGUUCCUCUCUGAGUGAACGAGGGGUUCAGGGGAGUGAAUUUCUGGACACAAAGUUGUUUUGCAAGUACCUAAACAAAUUUAUUUUGUUUAUACUUUCCUUUUCAAUGGGUGAACAAGAAUGCUCUGUGAAAAGAAAAAAGCUAUGUCUAAAUAAGUUUUAGAAGGGGUUUUCAGUGAAUUUUAAAUAAAAAUCCUAAAGGACAGGAAAACAGCUUAAUUGGCAGUGUUUUUCUUUCUUUGUGGUAAAAAAUAGUACAUCUUACAAUCAAUGGCAUUUUACAUUCAGUGAAUAUGGCAUUUGGUCAUCCUAUCUAAAGCCGAGAGAUUUGGAGAACCAGUCUAGCUUCUACAUUUUAAAUAAGCUCAAAGAAAGUGGAUGAGUUGCCCAUUACUACACAGCUCUCUGGUAUAUGACAGUGACAAGCUACAUUUUAGAGGUCACCAUGGAUAACUGUUGGGAACUAGGUUUGUUUUGUUUUAAUAACACAAUAUCAUUUUUGUCUACACAAUGAAGUGACUUCCUUGUCCUUAGUAUCUAACAAAGCAAAUGAUAAAAUAUUUCUUAUGUUUGGGAACGUCCCAGGAGGUAUAAAAACAUGUCCUUUCCAACAAUAUAUGUUAAGUUAUUUAGGGGUUGGUGGCAGUUUCUUAAUAUUUCGGGAAAUAUUAUUUUUGGGAAAAAUGCAUAAUGUUCCUUUAACACCUAGAGAAUUCUAGAUAAACAACAGUGGUUUUGCUUAUACCGAGCAAAAAUCAAUGGUCCUGAGAAUAAAACAAUGUAGUUAAAUAUUUUUUUCCCACAUGGUUGUCUCCAGCUCAAUCCAUGUUGUUGCAAAUGGUAGGAUUUGUUUCUUUCCUAUGGUUGAAUAGUAUUCCAUUGUGUAUAUGUACUACUUCUUUAUCCAUCCAUCUACUGAUGGACACUUAGGUUGCUUCCGUAUUUUGGCUAUUGUAAAUAGUUCUGCAAUAAACAUAGG